GGGGGCCAGAUCACAAGGGCUCAGAGAAAACAAACAACAACAAAACGGAGGGAUUUCUGCAUUCCCUCAGAGUAAUAAGAGUCCUCUUUCCUGCCCAAACUUGUAGGGCUUAUCCUUGAUCUCAGCAAUUGCUGAGAAACUGUUUCACCCUUUACAUGGAAAACAGACUUUCUUGUUUGCCUCAUCCCUACCAGUGUCUUUCUGCCUACACCUAAGUUCAAUUACCAGCUGCCCUUUAUCAUUGAACUUAAUGCUUUCUUCUCAUAGUAGAAUUAAGAGGAAAGUAAAAUAUUUUUUGUACCUAUAUCUUUAUUAUAUUUAGACAAAUCACAGAGUGAGAGAGUAGGGGUUUCAAGAACAAUAGGAGAGAGACAGGGAAGAGAGAAAGAACUGCUUGUGGAAAUACAGAAUAUCCCACAUUUUCAAUGUGGAAAGUGUAUGAGGGUCUGAAAGAAAAUACUCAGUUUUUUUUGUCCUGUAAGAGGCAGCAUUGACAAAUGUGUACCAGAGUUUGGGUACAUUUGAGCCAGUUCUUCAGAAUCGUGGGGUGGGAAAUAGAACAAAAUUAUUUACACCUAAUUCUAGGCAGAUAAGUGUGCUUCAAGGAAAGGCAAGGGCCUGGCUAGAUUCUAGAUGUUUUUAAACUGGAGGCCAGAGACAGCUUUAGGGAGUCUAUAUACAGGCACAAAUUUAUUUCUUUUAUAUUCUUCUUGCUCUUUGAAAACGGUCUUUAUGCAAAUACACACUAUAUAACCAAAGUUUCUCUUUGUUCCAGGCAGGAGUAGGGCUGAUUGGAGCCAUUGUACAGUGUCGGGAACAUACCAGGACACUGAGAAUAGUGUCAUGUCAUAAGGACCCAGAGCAGAUGGACCCUGCUGUGAUGCACAAAGAGGACCACGCAAGAUAUGAUAAAGAUCUACAUCACUGAAUUUUGGUUCCAUUUUUGUAUCUCAGCUUCCAGGAAAUAAAAAAGAAUUCUAACAUUCAUACUUUCAGUAUUUUAUGUGAGAGGUUUUGUUGUCAAAAUCAAGUCUGAGAGCAAUGUUUGUUGGGGCCUUUAAUUGGAGUCACCAAGCGAUAAAGGGGACAUUGUCCUCAACAAUAACCCUAUAAUAAACACGUUUUGGACAAUAAAUAUAUGACAAUUUCUUAAAAGCAAUUUCUUGGGCAAUCAAGACAGUAUGGCUUGAGUAUGGAGUUAUACGAUGGUUUGGAUUAAUCCAGUAUUAAAUCUUUGGUUAUUACAGAAA
ensembl:lncRNA LERFS lncRNA negative regulator of fibroblast-like synoviocyte migration, SYNCRIP interacting